rnacentral:tRNA from 1 species
GCCCUGGUGGCCUAGUGGUUAAGCAUUUGGCUGCUAACCAAAAGGUCAGUAGUUAUCCGCCAGCUGCUCCUUGGAA